GACCGGGAUGGACGCACCGCUGGUGUACCAGUUGUUCCGCCAGGAGCACCGCUGGGUAGCCAAGUGCGGACGGGAUAAGCGCUGAAAGCAUCUAAGCGUGAAGCCCCCCUCAAGAUGAGAUUUCCCAAUUAGUAAGACCCCUGGAAGACGACCAGGUUGAUAGGUUCGAGGUGGAAGCGCAGCAAUGCGUGGAGCUGACGAAUACUAAUCGGUCGAGGGCUUAUCCUAG
rnacentral:rRNA from 1 species